rnacentral:rRNA from 1 species
GUCCGUGAAGUGUUCGGAUCGAGGCGACAUGGGCGGUUCGCUGCCCGUGACGUCGCGAGAAGUCCACUGAACCUUAUCAUUUAGAGGAAGGAGAAGUCGUAACAAGGUUUCCGUAGGUGAACCUGCGGAAGGAUCAUUGUCGAAACCUGCCCAGCAGAAAGACCUGUGAACACGUUAGAAUCACUCGGGGGGCGAGGGGUGUCAAUGAGCCUCGAACCCCCUGUGCCUAAGGUUUGCGGCCAUGGUCGAUGCCUUAGGCUUAAAAACAAACCCCGGCGCGGAAUGCGUCAAGGAAAAAUAAUGGAACGACCCAUACCGCCAUAGCCCCGGAAAACGGUGCAUUGCUGUGGUGGUUGAUUCGUGAUUGGUUUAAGUCAAAACGACUCUCGGCAACGGAUAUCUCGGCUCUCGCAUCGAUGAAGAACGUAGCGAAAUGCGAUACUUGGUGUGAAUUGCAGAAUCCCGUGAACCAUCGAGUCUUUGAACGCAAGUUGCGCCCGAAGCCAUUCGGCCGAGGGCACGUCUGCCUGGGCGUCACACAUCGUUGCCCCCCCAAAAAACCCCAUGCCACUCCGUGUUGGGUGUGUGUGGAUUGAUCAGGGGGCAGAGGAUGGCCUCCCGUGCGCACUUUGCCUCGCGGUUGGUCCAAAAUUGAGUCCUCGGUCACAUCAUCGUGGCAGUAGGUGGUUGUCGAUCAUUCGGUGCCCCGUCACGUGUGUCGGCCUUGCGUCGGGACUCUUGUAGACCCCAAUGCAUCUCUUGUGGAUGCUUCCAACGCGACCCCAGGUCAGGCGGGGCUACCCGCUGAGUUUAAGCAUAUCAAUAAGCGGAGGAAAAGAA